GGGGCUCAAAAUCACAACGUGAUAGCAAGUCAAAGUCAUCCUCUCAAACUAUCAGCUCAAGGUCAAACUCAGACGCAAAAGCAACGUAACACGCUCUGAAAGUAUCAGCUCAAAUGACGACUCUGAAAACAAAGACACAAUCAAUCAUCGGUAACAAAACAGCGUAAAGUCCAAGCAUGUAAGUUUUGGUGCAUUUUCAAGUCAGAGCAGCGAAGAUGAUGCGGAAUCAGACGGUGAACGUGAAAUUGGUUUAAAUCACUCAAGACAUGUGCAAUUACUUCAUGAAAUAAUACCUCAAAAAUUUAAAUCUUGAUAUUCAUUAAGGUACAUGGACUUAAGUCACCAUGGCACCUCUGUACAUCUCAGUUUUCCAGUAUAAGAGUACACUGAGCUCUUUCAAAUUAUAACUAUGGACAAUCAAUCCUGUCUGGCAAGCAGCUAUCUAAUUUAUUUCUUUUACAGAACAAAAAGGGGGAACAACAUUGAAAUCAAUCUUUCUGCACCUAAAAUUAGACUUAUCUUUCAUCCCAAAUAUUUUUAAAUCAUUUACGGGAAAUAUUAAAGCUAUUUUCCAGUAAAACUUUAGCCGACAUCUAUUCAACCUAAAAACAAAAGGGUUACGUUCGUUCAAACAGCUAAAAUCAGGUCACUUUGCCCCUAUCAAAGAAGGGUUUAAGUUUCUGAAAAUAUCAUCUCCUUAACCAACCAGAAAUACACUCACUUAAAUUGAGAUUAAACAUCAUACCAAAUGCCUUCUUUUCUAGGAGGAGAAUACUAAAUUUGCAGUGAAAAACUAAUUAUACCCUCGAGCAUACCUCCUAAGAAACGUUAUUGCAUCCGCUGACAAAAUAGCAUAGCAUAUGGAGGAGGAGAAAAAGAUAUUUCGCUGCCACUUCUGCUUCAGUAGAACGUCCGCAGAAGUACUAAUAGUAGUAGAAGUUAAUACUAUACAAUUGAUAUUAGUAGGGGAACAUUGAGGUGGGAUAUGUCGUUGCUUCGCAUUACCUCGUUGAUCAGCUGCUAGAGGAAUUCUCACAACAAGUGGUGGUUCCAAAAAGUCAGAGCCCAGAGGUAGAGGCAAUCUUCUCGAGUAUGUCAGCUACGCAUUGGCCUCUCCGUAUGAAAGAAAGAAAUAUGAAUGAUUUGCAGAAAUUUUUCCACACCUUAUUCAUUUCCUUUG
rnacentral:lncRNA from 1 species